rnacentral:rRNA from 1 species
UACGCAGGUGGCGAGCGUUGCCCGGAAUUACUGGGCGUAAAGGGUGCGUAGGCGGCCGGACAAGUCAUAGGUUAAAGCCCGGAGCUCAACUCCGGAAAGGCCUAUGAUACUGUCUGACUUGAGUGCAGGAGAGGAGAGUGGAAUUCCCGGUGUAGCGGUGGAAUGCGUAGAGAUCGGGAGGAACACCAGUGGCGAAAGCGGCUUCCUGGCCCGAUACUGACGCUCAUGUACGAAAGCGUGGGGAGCAAACAGG